rnacentral:pre_miRNA from 1 species
UGCUAAAAAUUUUAUUAAUUUCUAUCGUUAAAACUGACAUGUCUGAAAAAAUAACCAAAUAAUAGUAUUGGCAUGCCACAGGAAUCAAUUUUAACAAUAGAAAUGGAUAAUUUUUUUAACA